CCUACGGGAGGCAGCAGUGGGGAAUUUUCCGCAAUGGGCGAAAGCCUGACGGAGCAACGCCGCGUGAGGGAUGAAGGCCUCUGGGCUGUAAACCUCUUUUCUCAAGGAAGAAGAUCUGACGGUACUUGAGGAAUAAGCCACGGCUAAUUCCGUGCCAGCAGCCGCGGUAAUACGGGAGUGGCAAGCGUUAUCCGGAAUUAUUGGGCGUAAAGCGUCCGCAGGCGGCCCUGUAAGUCUGUCGUUAAAGCGUGGAGCUUAACUCCAUUUGAGCGAUGGAAAC
rnacentral:rRNA from 1 species